AGAAUGAGGUUGAGCCAAGGAUGACUUGCCGGGUUUUUUUUUCCAAUGAGUCUUAACUGAUUUUGGUGUCCGGCAAGUUGACCUUGGCUCUGUUUCCUUCUCU
rnacentral:pre_miRNA from 1 species